GCUGACUGAUUCCGCACCCCCCGCCUGGAGGAUCACUAGAGGGAGCGACACCUCAGCACGUACGGGUCACCUGAGGAGAACGGACGCGCCUCGUUGGGACGACUGCCCGUUUCAGGAUGCUGGGCAGGAGGUGAUCACCUGCGCAGGAGAGUCAUUUAUCCUAUACAACGUGCAGCAGUCCGGAGGCCAUCGGAGGUGGUGAGUGAAGGACUGUACCAGGAUAACGCAGCAUUAGGUAGGUGCUGUGUUUGGCACCAGACACAUGGUGAGGCAUUGCGUAGCUGACUGUGGGUUCCCAGGAGCAGCUACAUCAGUGACUCGUGAGAAACGUGCUGUUCUGGACACCAGUUUCACCCUCAGCAGUUCAUAUAGUUGUCCCUCCAAUUCUGUGAGUUCUGCAUCCAUGGAUUCGCCCAACUACAGAUCCAAAAUAUUGGUGCGGGAAAUUUCAGGAAGUUCAAAGCAGCAAAAGUUGAAUUUGCCCUGCACAUGCGGGCAACUGUUUACACAGCAGUUACACUGUAUUGGGUAUUGUACGUAACCUAGAGAUGAUUUAAGGUAUCCAGGAGGAUGUGCAUAGGUUAUAUGCGAACACUGCGCUGUUUUAUAUAAGGCAUUGCGCAUCCUUGGAUUUGGGUAUCCGUGGGAGGGUAUCCAUUCCCCCCUAGAUAGAGGGAUGACUGACUGCAUUUGUAUUUCCCACGAAUGCCUUGACUAAAACACCUGACACCUGGAAGUCAGACACAAUAGCAGUUGGGUAAGAGAGGUUUCUUCUGAUGCUUUCUGACUUUCACACUUGUGAUUUCCGACGUCUUCCAUCUUCCAAGGUCAUCUUGCCCAGCCUGUCUUUCCAGCUGUGGACUCUCACCUUCCACCUGUCUCCUUUCUUUUCUCGCAAACUUGAUGUUAUUCACACAUUCCAGGGCACACGCAGUCUCUUCUUCAAGGACCAGAAUCACUGUGACUCACAUCCUGAGUACCUUGUGCUGUUUUUCUUGUAAAAAUAUGAAAUGCUUCAACCAUGCAGAAUAAAAUAACAUACUCAAGUCUCUACCACCUGGAUUGGACAUACCUUACUGUUUUGCCAUGUGCUUCAGGUCUGUUUAUUUUGGAAAAUACAGUACUACAGAUACAGCUGACACGUUCUUGCACCUUUUCUCCUCCUCCUCUACAGACACAGCUCUGACUUUGUUUAGCGUGUGUUCAACUAAAAUACACAGUGGGCUUGGACUCCUGGAACAUAGAUGUGGUCAGUGAGGUCAGCGUGGAGCCUGGGAAGGCAUCCCUUUCCAAAUGAAGAAACAAAGCCUCAUUAGGAAAAAGUCCUGCUUCCCCCAUCUUCUGCCUGCAGUGUGGAUGGGAGGCCUGGAGAUGCAGCGUCUGCUUUGUGACCAAGAGGCAACUGUCAGAGCUGUGUAAUCUGCUUACUGUAUCCACCGAAUUGAUCAUUGUAUUGGACAGCCUCUGAUAGCAGUCCCAGAAACUAAGAUCAGCUUGAAACAUCUUUUGUCUCGUCCUCUAUGAGACG